GUGAAUUGCUCGUGAAAGAUUUCACAUCAACUUUGAAACCAGGAGAAUUCCAAGCCUUUUCCAAGCAGUGCUUCCAAGUCUUUCCGUCGAAAUGCCCCGAGGAAAAUCUCACCGCCGUUCGCUUGCUGCGAAGAAGCGCAUGGAGGCAGGUCGGACUGAGCGUCUAGAGACAUCAACGUCUUCCAGCGACUUUGUUCCACGGCGUGGUACCGGCUGGCGCCAUGCUGUGAGACCGUGG